rnacentral:rRNA from 1 species
GAUGAACGCUGGCGGCGUGCUUAACACAUGCAAGUCGAACGAUGAAGCCCAGCUUGCUGGGUGGAUUAGUGGCGAACGGGUGAGUAACACGUGAGUAACCUGCCCUUAACUCUGGGAUAAGCCUGGGAAACUGGGUCUAAUACCGGAUAGGAGCGUCCACCGCAUGGUGGGUGUUGGAAAGAUUUAUCGGUUUUGGAUGGACUCGCGGCCUAUCAGCUUGUUGGUGAGGUAAUUGCUCACCAAGGCGACGACGGGUAGCCGGCCUGAGAGGGUGACCGGCCAGACUGGAACUGAGACACGGCACAGACUCCUACGGGAGGCAGCAGUGGAGAAGAGUGCACAGUGGGCGCAAGCCUGAUGCAGCGACGCCGCGUGAGGGAUGAGGGCCUUCGAGCUGUAAACCUCUUUCAGUAGGGAAGAAGCGAAAGUGACGGUACCUGCAGAAGAAGCACCGGCUAACUACGUG